GCGCUGCCUGCUCCCCAUUGGCCCAUGGCGGUCACAUGGAGGCGCCGGGGCGCGCCGGCCAUGUUGGGGAGUGCGGCGCCGCGGCCCGCGCCACCUCCGCCCCCCGCGGCUUGCCUCCAGCCCGCCCCUCCCGGCCCUCCUCCCCCCGCCCGCCGCUCCGUGCAGCCUGAGAGGAAACAAAGUGCUGCGAGCAGGAGACGGCGGCGGCGCGAACCCUGCUGGGCCUCCAGUCACCCUCGUCUUGCAUUUUCCCGCGUGCGUGUGUGAGUGGGUGUGUGUUUUCUUACAAAGGGCAUUUCGCGAUCGAUCGAUUGAUUCGUAGUUCCCCCCCCGCGCGCCUUUGCCCUUUGUGCUGUAAUCGAGCUCCCGCCAUCCCAGGUGCUUCUCCUUUCCUCUAAACGCCAGCGUCUGGACGUGAGCGCAGGUCGCCGGUUUGUGCCUUCGGUCCCCGCUUCGCCCCCUGCCGUCCCCUCCUUGUCACGGUCCCGCUCGCGGCCUCGCCGCCCCGCUGUCUCCGCCGCCCGCCAUGGCGACUGCGACCCCCGUGCCGCCGCGGAUGGGCAGCCGCGCUGGCGGCCCCACCACGCCGCUGAGCCCCACGCGGCUGUCGCGGCUCCAGGAGAAGGAGGAGCUGCGCGAGCUCAAUGACCGGCUGGCGGUGUACAUCGACAAGGUGCGCAGCCUGGAGACGGAGAACAGCGCGCUGCAGCUGCAGGUGACGGAGCGCGAGGAGGUGCGCGGCCGCGAGCUCACCGGCCUCAAGGCGCUCUACGAGACCGAGCUGGCCGACGCGCGACGCGCGCUCGACGACACGGCCCGCGAGCGCGCCAAGCUGCAGAUCGAGCUGGGCAAGUGCAAGGCGGAACACGACCAGCUGCUCCUCAACUAUGCUAAGAAGGAAUCUGAUCUUAAUGGCGCCCAGAUCAAGCUUCGAGAAUAUGAAGCAGCACUGAAUUCGAAAGAUGCAGCUCUUGCUACUGCACUUGGUGACAAAAAAAGUUUAGAGGGAGAUUUGGAGGAUCUGAGGGAUCAGAUUGCCCAGUUGGAAGCCUCCUUAGCUGCAGCCAAAAAACAGUUAGCAGAUGAAACUUUACUUAAAGUAGAUUUGGAGAAUCGUUGUCAGAGCCUUACUGAGGACUUGGAGUUUCGCAAAAACAUGUAUGAAGAGGAGAUUAACGAGACCAGAAGGAAGCAUGAAACGCGCUUGGUAGAGGUGGAUUCUGGGCGUCAAAUUGAGUAUGAGUACAAGCUGGCACAAGCCCUUCAUGAGAUGAGAGAGCAACAUGAUGCCCAAGUGAGGCUGUAUAAGGAGGAGCUGGAGCAGACUUACCAUGCCAAACUUGAGAAUGCCAGACUGUCAUCAGAGAUGAAUACUUCUACUGUCAACAGUGCCAGGGAAGAACUGAUGGAAAGCCGCAUGAGAAUUGAGAGCCUUUCAUCCCAGCUUUCUAAUCUACAGAAAGAGUCUAGAGCAUGUUUGGAAAGGAUUCAAGAAUUAGAGGACUUGCUUGCUAAAGAAAAAGACAACUCUCGUCGCAUGCUGACAGACAAAGAGAGAGAGAUGGCGGAAAUAAGGGAUCAAAUGCAGCAACAGCUGAAUGACUAUGAACAGCUUCUUGAUGUAAAGUUAGCCCUGGACAUGGAAAUCAGUGCUUACAGGAAACUCUUAGAAGGCGAAGAAGAGAGGUUGAAGCUGUCUCCAAGCCCUUCUUCCCGUGUGACAGUAUCCCGAGCAUCCUCAAGUCGUAGUGUACGUACAACUAGAGGAAAGCGGAAGAGGGUUGAUGUGGAAGAAUCAGAGGCGAGUAGUAGUGUUAGCAUCUCUCAUUCCGCCUCAGCCACUGGAAAUGUUUGCAUCGAAGAAAUUGAUGUUGAUGGGAAAUUUAUCCGCUUGAAGAACACUUCUGAACAGGAUCAACCAAUGGGAGGCUGGGAGAUGAUCAGAAAAAUUGGAGACACAUCAGUCAGUUAUAAAUAUACCUCAAGAUAUGUGCUGAAGGCAGGCCAGACUGUUACAGUAAGUGAAUCUAGUCAUCAUUUAAUUUAACUUCAUUGUGUUAACUAACAAAGUAACUCAAAAAGUUUUUUGGCUAAAAGAGAAGCAUUUUAGAAAUGGCCGUUAAAGUACUUUUUAUAUUAUUAGGGCAUUACAAGUGCUAUAAAAGAUUUUUAAAAUUCUGUCUUAUUGAGAGUAGUGAAGAAUGGACCUUUGAAUUAUUUUUAUCUUGUCUAUUCCAGUAGAUAUAAAAGCUAUCUCUAGACUGAUACUUAUAGCCCAGUGUCAUUCAGGAGACACUGCUUGGCAUAAAGAACUGUUAAGAAUUUAGCAUUAACAUAUGCCUAAAACAGCAAUCUCUAGCCUUGGGUGAGCUUCAGAAUCAUUUGGGUAGUAUUUUGGUGUUCAGGCCCUACUUCACCCUUUGCUAUCUUUGGGGUUGGGGUAGGAGCCUAGGUUUUGAAUAAAAGUCCUUAGAUUAUAGGCACCCUUGUAAAUUUUCACUAAUUGGCAUUCUGUGUCUUGAUUUCUAAAUGGCUCUCUAUUGGUAUGUUCUGAAAUACUACAUCUUUAAUAGUUACUGAAAUAUUAUUAGCUUACUUUUUAGAGAAGUAUGUUUCAUUGAGUAAUCAAAGAUUCUUUUGCUUUUACUUAGUAGGUAGAUUUAGCUAACAAUAAAAUAUGUUAACUUUGAUACAGAUUUCAAAGAAGUCACUCUUUUCAUCCUAAAAGAAUGUAGAGGUGACUGUCUCUUUCCUUUUAUAUAUUCUUUAAAAAAUAUUAAACGCAUGUUUUAAAUGUGUUUAUAAUUUUAUGUUGAUACAAACCUUACUGUUGAAGAUCAAAGGCUCAGACUUCUCUUUAAAAAGGUGUAUUCAGAGAGCAUGAUGCCACUUUGUGAAAAUAUCAAAUGCUAAUUUGGUAAUAAUGGGUAAAAAUGGGAUCAACUAUCCUAACUACAAUAUCCUUUCUUCUCAUUAGUAAUUACUAUAGUGAGAAAAAAUUGCUCACUAUAGCAAUUGCUAUUAUAUGUCUUAUGGAAGCUGUAUAAUGUGGUAAAAAGAAUCUGACAUUUUAGUUCAGAGGAUUCAGAAUUGAGUGUGCUCUCUAUCUCAGAAGUAAUAUGGAAGCCUUAUGCCAAUCAUGUGCUUUUUCUACUGGGUAUACUACCUCAGGGACUAAAUACAUGGAUUCUAGAGAUCUAGUGGAGAACUCAAUUAUCAUAUAAAAUAAUGUGAUACUUUUUUCCCUUCAGUAACUGGCAUUAAAUGUGAUAAGCAGCUAUUUGGAACAUGGUAGUAAUAAGUGAUCUUUCUGUAAAAUUGCAGAGGCAAAAGCAAAGAUCAGUUUAAAACUCUAGAAUAGAAAUAUGAGAACCACAUGUGUAAUUUUAAAUUUUCUUAUAGCCGCAUUAAAGUAAAAAAGAAAGACAUGAAUUUUAGAACUAUAUUUUAUGAAACCCAAUAUAUCCAAAAUAUUGCUUUAACAUGUAAUCAGUCUAAAAAGUCAGAUAUUUUUACAUUCUUUUUUUUUAUGUUUAGCUAAGUCUUCAAAAUCUAGUGUGUAUUUUACCCUUACAGCACAUUCAUUUCAGACUAGCCAUAUUUUAAGUGCUAACAAGCCACAUUUUGCUGCGGUAUUGAAUGACAUGGCUAUAGGACAUAUUAGUUUUAGGUUAAGUUAGCCAGCAAGUAUACUGACAUUUUAUGAUGAUGAUUACUAACAUAAACCAACUAUGUGAUUACAUAUAGGCUAGUGAGAAAUAUUGCUUACAAUUAGGAAAACACUAACGUUCCACAUAGUCUGAAUGUUGGACCAGAUUCAGUUCUUUUUUUCAGUUUAAUCCCAGUUAAUAUCUUGUGCCCCUUUCCAUUUGUAAUGCUGAUGAAAGAUCUGGAUGCUUCAGGGGAACAUCUCAAAAGUAAGGGCUCUCUCCUAAUCAGUAAUUCAUAGAUUUUUUUUUUCCUGUUUCCACCCCACCCCCCACCCUUUCUUUUUUUUGAUAGAGACAGGAUUUCACCAUGUUGCCCAGGCUGGUUUUAAACUCCUUAGCUCAAGUGAUCUGCCUGCCUUGGCCUCCCAAAGUGCUGGGAUUACAGGUGUGAGCCACUGCGCCUGGCAAGAAAUUCUGUCUCUUAAGCAAAGAAAAGGUCCCUCUCCCCCGCAUUUGGUGAUUUUAAGUGUGUUUUUUAACUUAAACUACUAUUGUUUUUAGGAGGUUGCUCAAAGAAGUACAGUCUUUAAAACAACCAUACCUGAAGAAGAGGAGGAGGAGGAAGAAGCAGCUGGAGUGGUUGUUGAGGAAGAACUUUUCCACCAGCAGGGAACCCCAAGAGCAUCCAAUAGAAGCUGUGCAAUUAUGUAAAAUUUUCAACUGUCUUCCUCAAAAUAAAGAAGUAUGGUAAUCCUUACCUGUAUACAGUGCAGAGCCUUCUCAGAAGCACAGAAUAUUUUUAUAUUUCCUUUAUGUGAAUUUUUAAGCUGCAAAUCUGAUGGCCUUAAUUUCCUUUUUGACACUGAAAGUUUUAUAAAAGAAAUCAUGUCCAUACACUUUGUUGCAAGAUGUGAAUUAUUGACACUGAACUUAAUAACUGUGUACUGUUCGGAAGGGGUUCCUCAAAUUUUUUGACUUUUUUUGUAUGUGUGUUUUUUCUUUUUUUUUAAGUUCUUAUGAGGAGGGGAGGGUAAAUAAACCACUGUGCGUCUUGGUGUAAUUUGAAGAUUGCCCCAUCUAGACUAGCAAUCUCUUCAUUAUUCUCUGCUAUAUAUAAAACGGUGCUGUGAGGGAGGGGAAAAGCAUUUUUCAAUAUAUUGAACUUUUGUACUGAAUUUUUUUGUAAUAAGCAAUCAAGGUUAUAAUUUUUUUUUAAAUAGAAAUUUUGUAAGAAGGCAAUAUUAACCUAAUCACCAUGUAAGCACUCUGGAUGAUGGAUUCCACAAAACUUGGUUUUAUGGUUACUUCUUCUCUUAGAUUCUUAAUUCAUGAGGGGGGUGGGGGAGGGGAGUGGGGGAGGGAAGGGUUUCUCCAUUAAAAUGCAUUCGUUGUGUUUUUUAAGAUAGUGUAACUUGCUUAAAUUUCUUAUGUGACAUUAACAAAUAAAAAAAGCUCUUUUAA